UUACUUGGGUACUAUAGUUAAGAUAUUCACGCACACACAUCCUGACUUGGGUUUAACCUUUGGCCAGAGCAGGCGUGCUAGGUUAGUGGUUAUAGGUUACAAGUUUUGUUGUUCUCAUGAGUUUGCAGGAGUUCAGAGGAAGGGCAACGCUGAUAACAGGAUGUCCCUGGCAAAUCCCCCACCGGUUGAGUGCACACAGAUGACAGUUCCUCUUCAAUGGACAAGGUCUUAUCAUCAUCUGGCGGACUUUAUAGGACUUCAGAGAAUCACCACCCCCACCUCACUCUUUGCGGACACUAUAAGACGCUUGGCCAAAGAGAGAAGGAUGUUUUUUUGGAGUUCUGCUGUGAUGAGACCUGCGUAUUCCUGUAGGCAGCAGUUGUAACUACGAGGCCCAGAUAUCUGUAUUAGUUUUGUUUGGUAGGAAUACAAGUUUUGGAAUUGAACUGCCUUUUGUCUCCAUCAUCCCUCGAUAGAAUUCCACGCUUCAGUUUUGGCGCCCAACGUGGGAGAGGUGGAGUUCGGUAGGUGGCUUAUUGGAUGUUGUUUUUUUCUGGUUAUCCCAUUGCUGUUCAUCUCCUGAGUGCACUCUCUGUAACAAAGGUCUCUGUGGCUACAACAGGAAUUACACCCCCGGCUUCAUUGAACGCACCGCGCCCCUCAGAGCUCUCACUCGUCAACAAGACGGCUGCUGCUUCAGACACUCGGAUGGGAACCUACGCGCAGCUGCCGCUGUUGUCCGACAUGACUCAUCUUCUGACACUUUUCCGCUGGUGACUUCUGACAUUUACAUGACUAACCCUUCGGCCCAGGGUGCGGAAGUGCUGGCUUUAUGCUUGGCCCUGGAGGCUGGCGCUGGACAAGACAUGACUACUGUGACUCUGCCUAUGCUGUGGGCGCUGCUGUCCUCAACCUUCCUGAGUGGCAGCGGACAGGUUUCGUGACGGCUAAAGGACAUAGCAAGGCGAACACCCUUCAAUCUAGGGGCAAAGAUGCAGCAGACCAGGCUGCGAAGGCGGCGGCCGGGUACCGCCCCGCCGAUUUGAUGAUGAUUUGUUCUCAGCUGCCUGAUCACCAACUGGACAACCCAUUGUCUUUGGACGUUAUUGCGUCCCAUCAUCGUUCUGCUUCUCCGGAAGAGGUUCAUGACUCCGCUGUGCCUGUCUCUGCGACUCCUCCCUCACCUUUGGUAGCAGAUAAGGUCUUCCUGAAGAGGCUCUCCAGGAAGUGGUCGGAAUCUAGGUGGACUGGUCCUUUUGUGGUGACUGCUCGUACCGAUUGGGCUGUGCAACUGGAGGGCAAAGGACUCAAGUGGUUUCACUUUUCUUUGCUUAGGCCAGACACAUCUGUUUGAGUUGUUAUGUCUUCUUAUUGUGGACUGGGUGUUUCCCAGUCCAGGAGGGGGAGGGGGUUGAUUCAUUUGGCAUAUUGUAUUAUAUGAUCGCUGUUUUCAUUGUAGCUGCAAGUUCUUUUUUCUGUUUCUUGCUGGUUUCUUAUAUUAUCACUGCUUUUGUUCCACACACCAUCACACCCCUGGACAUGCAGGUUGGUACCUACCGAAUUGGUAACACCACUGAUUCAUAUUCCUUGGUGGUCCGACGCCGCCGGUCUAUAAUAUCUUCUUGUUCAGAUGUCAGUCACGGAGUUCAUCAGCAAACUUCGUGACAAGUACUCACCCUUUGUUCCGCCUGGCCAGUAUGUACAAAUUUUGUCAUAGACCUAUUAACAUUACAUCAAGAAUAUCAGGAGUGUACAUCCUCUAGCCGACGGGCCUGGGGAUGUUCUCCGGCCAGGUGGGUAUAUCAGGUCAAGGGAUGGUACAUUAUGUACGGCUACUCUAGCGGGGCGUUUAAUCAGGGGUGGGACAGACUGGCAGGGGAGUCGGUUGUACGUAGCUGGGCAUCAUAUACUGGAAAAAAGGUACGGCCGAUUAGAGCUAAUUUCUCUAUGAAAGCAAUGUCUAGAACCGCAUUUAAUAUGUAAUUUAAUUCAUCAACCCCUGGAUGCUAUAAUUUCACUUUGUAUGCUUAUCGAGGGAAAGGCUUCUUGAGAUGUCAUCUGUAGUUCUGUGAAGAAAGUGUCGGACGUUUCGCUCCUCAUCCGAAGAGCUUCGUCAGCGAACUAACAAGUGCUGGUAGCCUAGGCCUUAAAUACAGUAAGAGUGGGCGGAAUUGGUGUGCCAACACCCUCCUCCUAUGGUUCCUUACAUUAAGACUGGGCGGAGUUGUGGUCUAAUCCUGCCAUUAGCACCUCCGAACAAAGGGAGUGUAGCUCCCUGUAGUUGGGUAUGAACGACUCUGAUACUGGCUAGUUAGCAUCUAUUGUCCUGGCUUGGCCCUGGCUCUACCUCAUUUGCAUGACUAAGAGCUGUGGGUUUUGGUCUCAGUAACCUGCUGAACACAGGGUCCAAAUUAAACCUCAAACCACCAUUCCGAUUCAAUGAUGGGUUCUGUUGUUUGACAAAAAUAGCUUCCUUUACUCCUCUUUCAAACCAUCUGUUUUCUUUGGCCAAAAUCUUUACCUCGCUGUCCUUGCUGUCCUCCUUUUGGCCAAAAUCUUUACCUCGCUGUCCUCCCAUUGGCCAAAAUCUUUACCUCGCUGUCCUCGCUGUCCUCCUUUUGGCUGAACUCCUGUACGACUGAGAGCCUACACAGACGCUUUGUAUGCUUAUGCGUCUGGAAAGGACCGGUGUUGACCAUUUCGUAUAUGUACUGUUGCGUUCGCAGUUACUCCUCUACAGACACAAACUGCUCAAGCUGCGAAGGUUCGGGCAAUAAGUGACAGCCAGGAUGUACAUGAUGUGUUUACUCUCAUCACUGGAGUUACAGGUCAUACCAACAAUUGGCUUCUCAUGGUUGAGCAGGCGGCCAAUAAUGCUUCUACUGAUUGCGUGGUCUGUAUGGGUCCCAGGCCCUUGUUAAAAGUCGUUCCCGCAGUAUUGGAUGAUUCCUGCUUUAUGUCGGUUAUGAAUUCUACCUAUAUUAAACAAUUUAAGUGUUGUACAUGGGACGAAGUAUAUCCUGUGGUCCCACCGACAAAGGUAAAGCCUAUAUUUGACACAACAGUCUCAGCAAAUAAUUUCACUUGUGUUAACAGCUCUACGGGGAAAAACAUUUGUUAGGAAGGGUGAAUGACUCUUUAUGUGUUUCGGUUUAUGGGGUGUCUUCAACCUUUUCUCCCGUCUCUCGAGCCGAUGUGUGGUGAUGGUGCGGAGGAGCAGUACUAUUCGACCGCCUUCCUGCUAAAAGCAUGACCUGUUUGUGUGCAUUGGUUUCUCUCAUUCUACCGGUAAGUGUGAUUCCGGCUUCUGUAGAUCAUUUGAUGGAUGCGGUCGACUCGGUGGCCCUCCUGCCAUCAGCACACACUCGAAGACGUCGUGACACCUCCACCCCUUGGCUCAGCGCGACUGAUCCCACUUAUGUCGACGCUCUUGGGGUUCCUCGGGGUUUCCCGGAUGAAUAUAAACUCGUUAAUCAAGUGGCUGCUGGAUUUGAGUCUAUUCUUCCGUGGAUCACGGUUAACAAAAAUGUGGACCGUAUUAAUUAUAUUCAUUACAAUAUUCAGCAUUUAGGUAACCAUACACAGGCCGGGUUUCAGGCAGUCCAUGAACAGCUGAGAGCGACCUCCCUGAUGACCUUCCAGAAUCGCAUAGCUUUGGAUAUGUUAUUGGCUGAGAAGGGUGAGGUCUGUGCUACGUUUGGUGAUUCAUGUUGUACUUUCAUUCCUAAUAACACAGCGGCUGAUGGUAAACUUACCCAAGCACUAGAUGACCUGCGCACCUUAAACCGUAAAAUGAAAGAUCAUUCGGGUGUGAAUACUUCCAUCUGGGACAUGUGGAUGGCUUAUUUUGGGCCAUACAAGAAUCUCAUUUCUUCUUUCUUUAUUUCUAUUGCUGUGUUUGCAACUUUGCUGAUGUUGUGUGGCUGUCUUUGCAUCCCAUGUAUUAGGGGUUUACUGGAAAAGCUUGUUAUGCGGGUUUUGGGAGAUCCAAAGGGACAAUAUCUUCUGGUCCCGGUAAGGGAGGAACCUUCGACAGUGGAGAUGGCCCUGUUAGAGUGAAAUAAAAUCUUUGCUUUGGUUGUGUAAGUUUAUUGAUGCUAUUUACUUUGCUUUGUUGUUGUGGCCUCUUUCGAGGCCAAGAGGGGGAAUGAAGAAGUAGAUUAUUUUCAUUAGGCCUAGUUAGCAUAUAUCUACAGUAUUUACUUACAUUAUUAUACAUCAUAAUUAACAUAUAUCUAUAUGACUUAGUUGAUUUAUAUUGGCAUGCAUCAUAGUUUAUAUUUACAUGUUAACAUCACUUAACAGUUACUUGGGUACUAUAGUUAAGAUAUUCACACACACACAUCCUGACUUGGGUUUAACCUUGGGCCAGAGCAGGCGUGCUAGGUCAGUGGUUAUAGGUUACAAGUUUUGUUGUUCUCAUGAGUUUGCAGGAGUUCAGAGGAAGGGCAACGUUGAUAACAGGAUGUCCCUGGCAAAUCCCCCACCGGUUGAGUGCACACAGAUGACAGUUCCUCUUCAAUGGACAAGGUCUUAUCAGCAUCUGGCGGACUUUAGAGGACUUCAGAGAAUCACCACCCCCACCUCACUCUUCACGGACACUAUAAGACGCUUGGCCAAAGAGAGAAGGAUGCUUUUUUGGAGUUCUGCUGUGAUGAGACCUGCGUAUUCCUGUAGGCAGCAGUUGUAACUACGAGGCCCAGAUAUCUGUAUUAGUUUUGUUUGGUAGGAAUAAAACUUUUGGAAUUGAAUUGCCUUUUGUCUCCAUCAUCCCUCGAUAGAAUUCCACGCUUCACCGGGCACUAUUUAGUAAUAUGAAAGACACAUGGACCAGGGUUUGACAUGAUCGACAUCGACAAGUGGUCAACAUUAAGCGGGUUCCACCGUAUUCAAUGCCCUUUGGGUAGUCGACUUACGGCAACAUUGCGGAUCUGCUUGCUCCCCAAAUUCCACAGCUGGUGGAUGAGCGCUCUGAACAGCUCUGUCUUCUCCUCUGGAAACUGGGAGCACAACUUCUUCAAAAUAACCCUGGUGUCAGAGAGGGUAUUACCCGCUCCCACCCAAACACCUACAGGGAACUGGGAAAUAGUGACAUGGACCAACAGUUGAACAUGAAAGCGCAGCCUGAUGGAUUUUACCCACCGUUUGGUGUCUCGGUCACCUCGAACAGCUCCAGCACUCGGAUGGAAGAUAUCACCAAUGGAUGCACAACGCCCUUGAACUUAAUGUCCGGACCUUCGACACACAGCACAAGGAUCAGCACAAUGGAUUCUUUGAAUUACUCUUGAGAUGACAUUAUAUUCAUUUAGACCUAUGUUAGUGUUCCCCAUGAUCAGCGGAGCCUUCGGGUUGCUGGUCUUUAGCUGGACCAGCUCCUCCAGCAGGACAGGGGACACCCAGGUCAUCCUCUCCCCAUGGAAGGUGAGCAUCUGUGGCCUGUUGGUCUCUGCCAUCAGCUGGGGGUGACAAUAGAGAAGGUUAAAUUCUCUGAGGAGGCAAAGUGACCAGCCCGGCACUCAAAUGGAAGACUUUGUGUGUUUACGAUCAGUUCAGGAGGGAAGAUCAGCUCUUGUGUCGGGUCAAGUGGCAGGAAGUCCAACUUGUUAAACAGCAAUGGUGUUUCCUGGGAAGCAUGGACAUUGAAGGCAUUCAUACACAAAUAUAAACUAGAAGUGUGUGGUCACUCGGUGUGGGCGGAUCAAUCCAAAUAUUGAUGGUAUUGAUAUUAAGGGUGGAAUCGAUAUUGGAUUGAUAUUAGUAUGAUGAGAUCGAUAUUUUUCAGUUUUUCAGGAACAGUACUAGAAAGGGAGAGUCUGUUAUGUUUCGCUAGUUGUAGUACCUAUGUUAAGUUGAGUUUUAUUCAGUUCUCCGCCUAUUCAAGAAGGUGCUUUGACAAACUGUGAUGUGCCACUGCAUCACCAGCUCAACUUACAUCAGUUUUUUCUUUCUUGCCGCCACAGUCUUUUCCUCCAGAUAUCUGACAGCAGUUGACCUCCUGCUUGGGUGAAACAUUCUAUCCGUUUCAGUACAUAAUUAUAAGAAGCUAAAAACGGCUAAUGAAUUCGCUGAACCUGACAGAAGGUCCUGCAGCCGUCAACAAUGGGCCGAUAUCCUGUACAGCGACACAGAUUCCCUGAAUUGAGAGAGCAAAAGUCAACUGAAGCGCGUGAAAUAUCAUUUCUCCAGUUCAUGCAGGAAAUGACAGCCACGGGGUACCAGCGAGCGCCUCAGUGAUGUCGUCCAGGCUGGGGUGAGGAUUGUUCCGCAGGAGAGCGUACAUCGACAUCACCAUGCCUGGCGUGCAAAAGCCGCACUGGGAGCCAUGCGCCUUUGCUAUUCGCUCCUGGAAAGGCACCAUGCACAGCUAAUGACAAAACUGAGAUCUUCCUCAACUACGGUUACAAGACAGCAUGUAAAAACCACUGAAUAUCUCAUUCAUCCUCAAAAAAUAGAACAGGUCAAAACUGAUUUGACAUUCUUCUCAUGAUGAGUGUUUGUAAACAUCUGACCAGAACUGUACGCUUGCUUUGUUAUGUAUUUAAGUUUGAGGUUGAAUGGAACUUUGGAUCAACUGGGUAUUGUUUUUGGUUAACUCGAAGAAUGAGAUUUGUCUCAAAAACUGUGUACAUGGAGUAAUUAACCAUUUUUAAGGCCAUUUUUAGUCACCUGGUCCAGGAUUACUAUUGCAACAACAAAUCAUCAGUAGAGUAAAACUAACCUUUCUAUGACGGUUAGCAUACAUUCUGCAUGCUAACAGCAAGUCCAUUCAGAACACCACCCAACAGUUAUAUGUAAGUGAUGGCAUGGGAAUAGGUAAGCAGGAGUCUGAGAAGCACACAGUGGAUCCAGGCCUCACCUGGACAGGGUGGAUACUGGUCUUGGUACUCCCAAUACCCUCCACGGUGGUGAUGGCGGCUCCGUGAAGCUGGCAAAGUGGCAGCAGACAGGCGUUGGCCGAGUAAUGACUGAUAUGGUGGUGAAGGCAUGACACUGUAGUCAGAUCAUUUCUAUCGCGGCUAAAGCCUCCAUUAGUGGUGUCCAAGUUUUUGUUUUUUUUAUCAAUGUUUAAAAAAUAAUUUGCCUGAAUUUGUAUAUUCCAAAAUAAUUUAAAUGAAAUGUAAAAUUUAACGAGGGAGGAAGCGGACACUGAGUCCGAGUGGGCCAUGUAAAGUGCCUGUCGUGGCGGUAAUCCCAGAACCCAUUGGUGGACAUCAGCCUUGAGGGAUGUUGUCAAGCUGAAGAAGGGGUCCUACCAGGCCUUUUUGGCCCAUAGGACUCUAGAGGUGGCUGACAGGUGCUGGCAGGCCAAUCCGCGUGCAGCUUUGCCCAGCCGCCUAGCUAAGACUGGCUGAAACCAAAUCAGGAAGUUUCCUGAUAAUUGUGACCACCUUCGCAGAAGGCUUAUGAGGAGGAAAAGGAACUCAGUUUUACUUCAGAGACCGCUUGAACCCCAGACCUUGUCUAGGUGGCUGACCGUUCUCUCCAUCGCUGGCAUUGCAAUUUCUUGUAUUCACUCCAAAUAGACUCAAUUGUCAAUUGUUAAACUGACUUUUUGACUCAGAUAGUUAUUUCACAGUUGGAAGAAUUAAAGAACCCGGGGGGUUCCCGCCCUGUUAAAAGGGCCGGACAUAACAGUGCGAUCGUUGGACACCAGGUUUCACAAGCUGUCACGUGAGAAAUUCAAAAGAUCUUGAAGUUCUCGUAUUCGACCGAGAUUUAAGAGCAUGAAGAUAAAAAUGAAAGCAGGGAUUACUUAAAAACACACGGACCUCAUGAAAUGGCACCCAACCCAAGUCUGAAAGGUCGGAGGAGUUGGGUAGGACCCGUUUAACAGCUUUGCAUAGCUUGACAUACGGGUACACUAGAUUGGUUUGAGCGUGUUUUAUACACAAAAAUUAGAGGAAUAUCAAAGUGGCUGCCGCAUCCUUUCAUUUCUCUGUAUGCAGCCCUCAGGGGAAAAACUUUGGACACCCCUGAUGUACACGCUUACAGUUGGACAAUAAAUAAUUUACAGCCAUUAUUCCUUGCGCGUUAUCUUUUUUUCUGCCAAACUUGUUUUUCCUGUCUUGCUCACUAAAACAAGAUUUCAUUCCACUUUCACUUGGUUUAUGCAGUACUUUAAAAGUUGUGACUUAAUAAUACAUAAUACAUAUUUCUUCAGGCCAUUCUGAAUAUUCUGUGUAAAUGUUAUUUGGUUCAUGAAACACUAAACAAAUACGGCAGCAAAUCAAAUAUUUGCUUGCUUGAAAGAGUUUCCAUCUCCUCUUUUUCUCAUCUUGAAGGAUACACAAUGGUCUUGUUGGAAGGUCGAUAGCGUGACACCAUCACCGUACACGCACCGCAGCCUCCUCCGCCGCAGCCAUACUUGGUUCCGGUUAACCGCACUGUCGUCACGGUCAAUAGGAAGACAACCAUCAAAAAAAAAGAAAGACACUCACAUGACAUUUGGGAGAACACAGGCAAACAGUUGGACCAGAUAGACUUGUCUGAGGGCGUCAACUGAAAGGAUACACUUCUGUCUCAGGAAGUACAACAGUGUUGUCUCAGGGUCCGCACGCUCCUCGGUUACCUGUUGAUAAAGUAACUUUCACUCCAGAUCCAACUCAAUAGAAUGCUAAAUAAAAGGGACCUACCGCUUUUAAUACCAUGAGCAUUAUCUAUUUAUUCAAAGCCGGCUAACCCAUUAGCGUACGCCCCGGUUAGCGCUUUUUCUGGUAAACGUCAACAUGACCUGAAUUCAGUUGUGUUCUUCACGUAUUUUUAUCACAAAAGAUCCUUGUUAGCAUCCUAUUAGCUUGACCGCCAUCAGGAAUCCGUUCCAAAAGUUCCAACUCUAACCGAAAUGUACGCUAAUCAAAACAAUUUUUCCCAUUAAAAAAAAAAGUAAAUCCAAUAAAUUCGCUCCACAAAGCCCAAAAAGUUACCGCAAAUUAAUAUUAUAUUAUAAUUACAGUUUUACAUGCAAAAAAACAAUCCAAAUGCAUAUAAAUUGUAUUUAUAAUAUUUCCUACGGGACGUAAGCACGGAAAUGUUAUCUUAUACAUUAUAAAACAAUGCCAUUUGGUUUCUUUGGAGUGGGGUGUCACAUGAAAUCUCGCCUGGGGUGCCACAUUUGGUAGGGGCGGCUCUGUAUUUAUUAAAGAAACAAUGAAACAAUGUGGGAAUUGAUCGGUCUUAUUUAGCUCAAAUAAUGUAUCUAUUUUCAUCUAUCUGAAACACUGUAAACCCGAAUGCUCAACUUAAUUAAAAAAAAUGAUUGGUGUAUGAUUAAAAAAUGUUAAACUUGCUACUUAAUUAAAUGUUUAGAUUUUUUAAUGCAUAUGUCCAAUUUUUUGGACUUAAAAUUAUUCAUUUUAAUUAUUAAUUACAUACAAUUUUAAUUAAGCAGAACUUAUAGUUUAUAUUUUUCUUUAGUAUUAUUUUUAAUUUACAAUUACUUUAUAUUUUCAAAAAUCCAUCUGGACAACAAUCAGAAUUAACAAUUGCAUACAACAAUUUUUCCACUAUUUUAUUAAGAUGACACGAUUAAUUGGCAAUAUCAGUACACUUUAAAGAUGGGGGGUUAUUAUUAUAAUGAUCUGUACAUAUUUAUGCACUUUAAAAGUCAUGUCUUAAAACGUAAUAUGAUUCCUUUUCAUGAAUUUCAUUUUACAAGUGCAAAGGAAGGUAUGUAGGUUUUUUCUUUGAAUGUACCAGGAUAAUCCCUUGCCCCUGCCUGUUUUUUUUUGUUUUUGUUUUUUUUUGUGCCCCUGCCUGUUCUCCCUGUAAUAUGCCCAAAGAUGACAUCAUAUGAUGCGCAUGAAGCCUCGAGAAAUGAACCUUUUCGUGAACCAGAUGGAUGGAAAGAUUCUAGGUCACACCCUUGUCCUCGCUACUCAGUCUGUUCCGGACAUCUCGCCCUUCACCUUUCUGGGUUCAAAUCUCCACGCAUGCGCAUUGUGUGCUCUUGCACUUCCUCGGCUUCACCACCGCCGCGACCAAGGCGAACCGGCAUCCAAAGAUUGAAUCGGGUGUUUGUGGGCAAACCAGACUUAAGACUUUGGAGUAAAUGUAUAUGCUGAACUUCAGCAGAUAACCAAUAAACAUCUGCCAAAUUCCUUCUAUGCCGAGCUCAACAUGCACACCUCCCGUAUGAUGACGCCGUUCAGACAAAAGUCCUCCCAAACCACCAAGACAGCUGGUGUCUUGGCCACCAUUUUCAAAGUUCCUGAUGAACAGACCCUGUCUAGAGCAGCUGCACCCUGGCCUGCCGUUAAGAAGCUUCGGCUGGAAGAUUCAGCUUUGAUCUCAGGAUUCAGCAGAGGUCAAACUGCGGGGCUCAGACGCAUAAGGAUGGUGCGGGUUACUCGUGCUUUUGGCCAAGAGGCUGCUGAGCUGUGAUCCACGGCCGCCAUCAGCACAGCUCAGGGCUGCUACACCCCCACAAAGAUCCAACAUGAUGUCUACACCCGACACAACUGUGUUCCAUGCCCUACCCGCUAACCUGCGUGGACAAACAUCAGGGUUUUUCAUCAGCUGCCAUGAGGAUGCGGCGGGGCCUGAUCUGUCGACUACGCCUGUGAGUUGCGGAGGUCGUCCAGUGAACUACGGAAACAAGGUCUACGUGGUCUUGGAGGGUCAAGAGAUCGUAACAUUGUGAAACUUUGGAGAAGCCUUCCUGGUCAUGUUUGGACAAAGAAAAAAUUGUUUGCAAAAAAUAAUUGUUUGUGGAAAAAGAACUGUUUAAAAAAAAAAAAGUAAAUUGUUGCAAACUUUAUUGAAAUAAAACUGAAGUUUAGUCUUUUCUACUCAAGGGUACAUUACAAUCCUCUGGUGGGAUGCACUUAAAGUGCUUAGGAAAACAUUUGAAGAAUAAAAUCAUUCAUUAAAAUUUUGAUGUUAACGGUUGCCUAACCUUUUAAGUUUAUAUUCUUUCAUUUUUUUUAUUACUGUUAAAUGUGAAAAGUAUGCCAAUAGUACAUGAAAUCUUUAAUAAAAUAAUACAUUUAAUUUGGACAAAUUCAUUUUUUUAAUCUUUCUGAAAUUAUAUUUUUCAGUUAAUUCACACCGAAGUCAAUUAAAAAAACAAUGUAGCACUUAAUACAGAAAUAAAAAAAUUUAAGUUGUUAAACUGAAAAAAAGUUAGGCAGCCGUAUACAUCAAAAUUUGUAAUUACUGCUAACUAAUUUGGGUUUACAGUGUGCACAACAAUUUAAAUGCUCUUCCACUGGGUAGCACAAGGUACAUACUUGUACAUACUUGUUAACUACUGAACACGAUCUACACUGUACAUGUUUUUGACUUUUUGAGAUGUUUAUCAUGUAAAAUAAGCCUCAAUUAAGUAAACAAUGUACACAAUAACACAAACUUACCAGCACAAAUUCUGCCUUUACAAAGAUUAGGACGUUAACUGUCAAUAGAUAUAUUCCUCUAACAAUAUGUUUUAUUAUUAUUGCACUGUUGUACAACUGCUGGAUGUCGUUUGAUUGGCAGCUGGUUUCUCACGAAAGCGAGCAUAAAUGACGUCAAAGCAACAUACACACGAGAAAAGCAAGUUUACCUUUUUCCCGUUGACAAAAAAGCACAAAGUGUCUCUUUCUGCGGAUGCCGACAUCGUCACUGCAACACUUUUCACUCUGCGAGCUUCGAAACGCGGCGUUUACUGCUGCGGACUCUUUCAAAAUAAACCACGGAAGUCGAGUGAGGACACGUUUUAACCCCACUUGAAAUACUGUGACGUUGUGCAAGGCGAAUGGAAUAACUCACAUCAGCGGAGCAGACAAAUCCAACACACCUGGACGUUAAUAAUUACGGUAAUGGUGUAAAAAUGUGUUUGUCCCCUUCCUGCUUUCUUAUGUUUUUGCAUGUUUGUCACACUUAAAUGUUUCAGAACAUCAAACAUUUUAAUACACGACUGAACUGAACACAAAAUGCAGUUUUUAAAUGAAACUUUUUUAUUAUUAAAAGAAAAAAAUCCAAACCUACAUGGCCUUGUGUGACAAAGUGAAACUUUCUUCUUGUACAGUAAAUUCCCUUCUUGUAAUAUUGUGAUUUCAUGCCUAUAAUAAUUUGACUUUAUUCU